rnacentral:tRNA from 1 species
GGUUCAUUAGUGUAGUGGUUAUCACUCUGGAUUUUGAUCACGAGCACCUUCCAGCAACCCCGGUUCGAACCCGGGAUGGACCU